rnacentral:rRNA from 1 species
GUAUACGGGGUUGUGGGAUCUCUCUUUUACGGUCUGCCGGCCGUGAGACGAGUCAGAAACCGUUGAUGUAGGCGAAGGACAUGCGAAAGGUCCGGCGUAGAGGGUAAGACCCCCGUAGCUGAAACAUCAGCGGCUCGUUUGAGAGACACCCAAGUAGCACGGGGCCCGAGAAAUCCCGUGUGAAUCUGGCGGGACCACCCGCUAAGCCUAAAUAUUCCCUGGUGACCGAUAGCGGAUAGUACCGUGAGGGA